AUUCAUCAGCAUAGAUUGUGGAGCUCCUGAGGAUGUGACCUAUACUGAGUCCACAACAGGCAUAAAUUAUACUUCAGACGCAAAUUUGAUUAAUACUGGUGUGAGUAAGUCGAUAGAAACUAAUCUCAAACAACAGUAUCAGCGACAGAUGUGGAGCCUGAGAAGCUUCCCGGAAGGAAAAAGGAACUGUUACAAAAUAAGCGUCACAAGAGCCUCUAAGUAUCUCAUCCACACUACUUUUCUGUACGGAAAUUAUGAUGGCCGAAAUAUGUUACCACAGUUUGAUCUUCUUCUCGGACCUAACCGCUGGGAUACAGUCACUAUAGACGAUGCAUCAACUGACCAAUCCAAUGAGAUCAUACAUGUACCUUCAAUGAAUUAUGUGCAAAUCUGUCUGGUUGACACAGGCAACGGCACACCAUUUAUAUCAGCCAUAGAAUUCAGGACUUUGAAAAAGAAUACAUACGUCACUCAAUUCGGAUCAUUGCAACUUUACAAUUUCCUGCGCUGCGAUUUGGGUUCAACCAAAGUCCACAGGUACCCGGAUGAUAUUUAUGAUCGUUACUGGUAUAGUGGUUCUUCCUGGAACGCCUGUAACUUCGGCGAAAAUUGGAAACCACUAAAUGCCUCCAUUCCCGAUGAUUCUUUAAGUCAGACGGAUUACAAGCCCGGAGCAACUAUCAUGAGCACCGCAGUUGAACCACAAAAUGAUAGUGCCCCGUUGGUAAUAAGGUGGGAGCCAGAACAUGAAACUGACCAAUUCUAUGUGUACAUGCACUUCACGGAAAUUCUAGUGUUAACCACCAAUCAGACAAGACAAUUCAACAUCAUGAAUGGUGAAUCAUGGUUUCAAAAUUGUUCUCCAAUCUAUCAUGGAAUGAAUACUAUAUAUUCGAUAUCAGGCACCAGUGGGAAAGAAAUUAAAUUUUCCCUCGAGAGGACUGAAAAUUCAACCCUCCCUCCCAUCAUCAGUGCCAUUGAAAUUUACAGAGUAAUAGACUUACAGAAACCAGAAACAUUCCAAGGAGAUGUUGAUGCGAUUACUACCAUCAAGUCAGUUUAUGCGUUGAAAAGAGAUUGGCAAGGCGAUCCAUGCGCCCCUUCAGCCUAUUUGUGGAAUGGUCUCAAUUGUUCUGAUCACGGAAAUGAUUCUCCAAGAAUCACAACUCUGAAUUUAUCUUCCAGUGGAUU
rnacentral:sRNA from 1 species